ensembl:lncRNA
CGCCCCCUCCCCACGCGGGGCGGUCGCCUCUGGGGGGCCCUCUUCCCUUCCCCUUUCCGAGGGGCUGCUGCAGCCAGCCAGUCAGGAACCCCGUGCGCGUCUGUUGACUACCGCUCAGCUGUCACCCAUCCAUCAAGAGUCUGCUGGCCACGGGCUCCCAAGUGUCAGUCAACCUGUCAGUCAGCAGGCGGGACGCUGCCUCGCUUAGCUGGUCUGCUCGUUGGUUCAUUCAUUCGUUUAGCAAAUAACUCCACGCAGCCAGCUUUUAUUGCGCCCAGGCUCUGUGCCAAGUCCUCGAGGGGCCAAGUCGAAUACCCCAUACUGGCCUUCAUGUGAUCCAUCAACAGAUAUUUAUUGGGUGCCAACCAUGUAUCAGUUCAUUCUGCUGGUCUGCCCUCUGAGCGCUUACAUUCUACAGGAAAAGACUUACAGAUAGCCCAAGCCGACAAAUAAGUGAAGGUGCUUGCAGAUGCUGAUAAGUUUUAUGAAGAUGAUAACACAAGGGUAAACUCUACAGAGACAGCAAUGAGAUCUCAGUCCCUGCGGUAUCCCCAGCAUCUACCACGAGGUCUGGUACCCAGCAGGUCCUUCAUCAAUGUUUUUGGAAUAAAUAUGUUACAGAAUUCUCCUCUCUGGAUGCCACAGUCCUAGAAGGCCUCCACUAGGCUCUAGCUGUGACACUGGGCAAGCAGACGUCUGAAAUGUGUCAGCUGAGGAGCAGACAAAGGAAUUAGGGCCAUUUAGCCAGGAAGAGAGAACUC